rnacentral:rRNA from 1 species
UGAGUACGAGAUGCUACGGCAUCGAAGCAGUCUAUGUCAUACUUCCAAGAAAAGCUUGCACUGUCAUAAACAAAGAAUGCCUGUACCAUAACCGACACAGGUGGGUAGGUAGAGUAUACUAAGGGGCGCGAGAUAACUCUCUCUAAGGAACUCGGCAAAAUGACUCCGUAACUUCGGGAGAAGGAGUGCCUUAUUUCUAAGGUUGCAAUAACAAGAUCCAAGCAACUGUUUACCAAAAACACAGGUCUCCGCUAAGUCGUAAGACGAUGUAUGGGGGCUGACGCCUGCCCAGUGCCAGAAGGUUAAAGAAGUUGGUUAGCAUUAGCGAAGCUGAUAACUGAAGCCCUGGUGAACGGCGGCCGUAACUAUAACGGUCCUAAGGUAGCGAAAUUCCUUGUCGGGUAAGUUCCGACCCGCACGAAAGGCGUAAUGAUUUGGAUACUGUCUCGGAGAGGGGCUCGGUGAAAUAGACUUGUCUGUGAAGAUGCGGACUACCUGCACCUGGACAGAAAGACCCUAUGAAGCUUUACUGUAACUUGAGAUUGAAAUUGGACUUUAUUUGCGCAGUAUAGGUGGGAGGCGUUGAGAAUAAUCUUGCGGGAUUGUUGGAGCCAUCAGUGAGAUACCACUCUUGUAAUGUUAGAUUUCUAACUUUGUAUCAUUAUCUGGUCAAAGAACAGUUUCAGGCGGGCAGUUUGACUGGGGCGGUCGCCUCCCAAAGGGUAACGGAGGCGCACAAAGGUUUCCUCUGAACGGGUAGAAAUCGUAUCUAGAGUGUAAAGGCAUAAGGAAGCUUGACUGUGAGACCUACAAGUCGAGCAGGGACGAAAGUCGGUCUUAGAGAUCUGACGGUGCUGAGUGGAAAGGCCGUCACUCAACGGAUAAAAGUUACUCUAGGAUAACAGGCGGAUCUCCCCCAAGAGUUCACAUCGACGGGGAGGUUUGGCACCUCGAUGUCGGCUCAUCGCAUCCUGGGGCGGUAGUCCGUCCCAAGGGUUGGGCUGUUCGCCCAUGAAAGCGGUACGCGAGCUGGGUUCAGAACGUCGUGAGACAGUUCGGUCCAUAUCCGGUGUAGGCGUUAGAAUAUUGAGAGGAGCCUUCUCUAGUACGAGAGGACCGAGAAGGACAUACCUCUGGUGUACCAGUUAUCGUGCCAACGGUAAACGCUGGGUAGCUAUGUAUGGAGUGGAUAACCGCUGAAAGCAUCUAAGUGGGAAGCCCACCUCAAGAUAAGUAUUCUU